rnacentral:rRNA from 1 species
CCUACGGGUGGCUGCAGCAACGAAUCUUCCCCAAUGCCGGAAACGGUGAGGGAGCGACGCCGCGUGAAGGACGAAGUUCUUCGGAAUGUAAACUUCUGCAAGGGUCAUGAAAGGUGAGCGCCUAACAUGCGCAAAACUUGAUCUGAUCCCUAAAAGGGGCGGCUAACUCUGUGCCAGCAGCCGCGGUAAUACAGAGGCCCCAAGCGUUACUGAGAAUCACUGGGUUUAAAGGGUGCGUAGGUGGUCCGUUAAGUCAGUUGUGAAAGCCCUGGGCUCAACCCAGGAACUGCUUCUGAUACUGGCGGACUUGAGGCUAGUAUAGGUCACUGGAACUGACGGUGGAGCGGUGAAAUGCGUAGAUAUCGUCAGGAACGCCAAUGGUGAAGACAGGUGGCUGGGCUAGAUCUGACACUGAGGCACGAAAGCGUGGGGAGCGAACGGGAUUAGAUACCCCUGUAGUC